rnacentral:rRNA from 1 species
UCCCCCAGUAGCGGCGAGCGAAAAGGGAUGAGCCCAGCGCUGAAUCCCAUCCCCUCCGGGGGGUCGGGAAAUGUAGCGUUUAGGAGUGAGCGUACCGGUGGUUGCCUGGGCAGCAAGUCCCCCUGACCGGGGCUGUUACCCAGAGUGGGUGCGAGGCCCAUAGCGGCCUGGGCUUCCGCCGGAUGCGAUCUCCUUGGAGUCGGGUUGCUUGGGAGUGCAACCCUAAGUGGGUGGUAAACUCCACCUAAGGCUAAAUACCCCCGUGAGACCGAUAGCAAACAAGUACCGUGAGGGAAAGUUGCAAAGAACUUUGAAGAGAGAGUUCAAGAGUACGUGAAACCGUUUAGAGGUAAACUGGUGGGCCCUCGAAAUCCAGUGUCGGGAGGAUUCAGUUGRGCGGCUGCGGACAGGUCGCUUGGUGUUAAAAAAUUAAGGGUACCCGUGACGGGACCGACCUUGUGACUUGCUUCUGUGCUGCCCGACGCAUUUCUUUCCCGGCCGAAGGACGCCGCAACCGGUUGGGUGACGGCCUUAAGGACGGUACCGGGAAGGUGGCCGGUGGACCUCUCCUUGCGGGAGGAUCGCCGGAUGCUAGCCCUUCCGUCGCACGGCACGUUGCCCGACCGUGGUAUCAAGAGGCCCCUUGUGUGGCUCUCAUCGCCUCCUCCUGAACCUAUGUUUGGGAAGCUCGGCAAGGAAGACGGCAGCGGUUCCCCCACUGGCGGCCACACGGAAGGAUCCGUGGGCCAGCCGGCGGCGCUAGGGUCCGUGUUGGCUGUCUCGAGUCCGUUGGAGGUGGCG